GAACCGGGAAGGACGUUGGUGUGGAGG
rnacentral:piRNA from 1 species